UAAUGAUGGCUCAAAUUUUAAAAGCAAGAA
rnacentral:piRNA from 1 species